GCCUGUUUAUCAAAAACAUUGCUUUAUACUAUAUAAAGUAGGACCUGCCCACUGUAAAUUAUAAAGGGCUGCAGUAUUUUGACUGUGCGAAGGUAGCAUAAUAGCUUGCCUUUUAAAAGGGGGCUGGAAUGAACGGUUUUACAAAGUGAAAGCUGUCUUUAAAAUUAAACUGAAUUUGACCUUGUUGUAAAAAUGCAGCAAUUUAAGUAAGGGACGAUAAGACCCUAUAAAUUUUAGAGGGUAAUUCAUAAUUAAGAAAUUAACAACUUAAACUCUCUUUGUUGGGGCAACAUGAAUAAAUAACUAUUUUAUUUUAAACACUUUAAAUGAACUUUAGAGCCAAAAACUUGCAAAAGAAACAAAUACUUUAGGGAUAACAGCGUAAUUGUCCCGGAGAGCUCGCAUCAAUGGGACAGUUUGCGACCUCGAUGUUGAAUUAAAGAACCUUCUUGGGGCAGUCCUUAAGCAAGGUGCCUGUUCGGCCAUAAAACCUUUACGU
rnacentral:rRNA from 1 species